rnacentral:rRNA from 1 species
UUUUGGACAAUGGGCGCAAGCCUGAUCCAGCCAUUCCGCGUGAGUGAAGAAGGCCUUCGGGUUGUAAAGCUCUUUCGCAAGGGAAGAAAACCCUCCUUUCUAAUAAAGAGUGAGGUUGACGGUACCUUGAUAAGAAGCACCGGCUAACUACGUGCCAGCAGCCGCGGUAAUACGUAGGGUGCGAGCGUUAAUCGGAAUUACUGGGCGUAAAGCGUGCGCAGGCGGCUUUGUAAGUCAGAUGUGAAAUCCCCGAGCUCAACUUGGGAACUGCGUUUGAAACUACAAGGCUAGAAUAUGUCAGAGGGGGGUAGAAUUCCACGUGUAGCAGUGAAAUGCGUAGAGAUGUGGAGGAAUACCAAGGCGAAGGCGACCCCCUGGAUUUCUGUGACGCUCAUGCACGAA